rnacentral:rRNA from 1 species
AGAGUUUGAUCCUGGCUCAGGAUGAACGCUAGCUACAGGCUUAACACAUGCAAGUCGAGGGGAAACGAUAUUGGAAGCUUGCUUCCGAUAGGCGUCGACCGGCGCACGGGUGAGUAACGCGUAUCCAACCUGCCCAUCACUUGGGAAUAACCUUGCGAAAGUAAGACUAAUGCCCAAUGACAUUUAUAGAAGGCAUCGGAAAUGAAUUAAAGAUUUAUCGGUGAUGGAUGGGGAUGCGUCUGAUUAGCUUGUUGGCGGGGUAACGGCCCACCAAGGCGACGAUCAGUAGGGGUUCUGAGAGGAAGGUCCCCCACAUUGGAACUGAGACACGGUCCAAACUCCUACGGGAGGCAGCAGUGAGGAAUAUUGGUCAAUGGGCGAGAGCCUGAACCAGCCAAGUAGCGUGCAGGAUGACGGCCCUAUGGGUUGUAAACUGCUUUUAUAGGGGAAUAAAGUGAGCCACGUGUGGUUUUUUGCAUGUACCCUAUGAAUAAGGACCGGCUAAUUCCGUGCCAGCAGCCGCGGUAAUACGGAAGGUCCGGGCGUUAUCCGGAUUUAUUGGGUUUAAAGGGAGCGUAGGCCGGAGAUUAAGCGUGUUGUGAAAUGUAGAUGCUCAACAUCUGCACUGCAGCGCGAACUGGUUUCCUUGAGUACGCAUAAAGUGGGCGGAAUUCGUGGUGUAGCGGUGAAAUGCUUAGAUAUCACGAAGAACUCCGAUUGCGAAGGCAGCUCACUGGGGCGCAACUGACGCUGAAGCUCGAAAGCGCGGGUAUCGAACAGGAUUAGAUACCCUGGUAGUCCGCGCGGUAAACGAUGGAUGCCCGCUGUUGGGCCAACUGGUUCAGCGGCCAAGCGAAAGCAUUAAGCAUCCCACCUGGGGAGUACGCCGGCAACGGUGAAACUCAAAGGAAUUGACGGGGGCCCGCACAAGCGGAGGAACAUGUGGUUUAAUUCGAUGAUGCGCGAGGAACCUUACCCGGGCUUGAAUUGCAGAGGAAGGAUUUGGAGACAAUGACGCCCUUCGGGGCCUCUGUGAAGGUGCUGCAUGGUUGUCGUCAGCUCGUGCCGUGAGGUGUCGGCUUAAGUGCCAUAACGAGCGCAACCCCUCUCCAUAGUUGCCAUCAGGUGAAGCUGGGCACUCUGUGGACGCUGCCACCGUAAGGUGCGAGGAAGGUGGGGAUGACGUCAAAUCAGCACGGCCCU